CAGUUCUUUAAUUUUUUAAUAUUUUAAAAUAUUUAAACUAUUUUUAAAAUAAAAAAUAAAUGAUUUUCUUUCGGUUAAAAUAUUAAAUAAAAAAAUAAAUUUAUUAAAAUAUUUAUAAAUUAAUAAAUUUUUAAAAUAAUUUUAAAUUUUUAUAAAGCUUUGAAAUUUUUUAAAAAAUCUCUUUUUUGAAGAGUUCUGUA
rnacentral:lncRNA from 1 species